rnacentral:ncRNA from 1 species
AAAAAUCUAUUCACAUUAAUGUAUAUAUAAAUAAAUUUUUUAUGGUUUAAAAAAUUUAUUUUAAAUUUAUUUUACAUACAAAUUUUAGUGUUAUAUUUUAAUUAUUUAAAUAAUAUUUAAUUAAAUUUUAUAGUAAUUAAUAUUAAAAAUUUAAGAAAUUAAGAUUUAGUAAUAUUGAAAUUAUUAACAAAUUUUGUGCCAGCAGUUGCGGUUAUACAAAAAUUAAAUUAAAUUUUAUUAGAAAUUAAUUAAUAAUUUUUUUUUAUUAAAAAUUUUAAAUUAUUAAGUGAAAUUUUAAUUUAAUAAAAAUUUAUAUUUAAAUUAUGAUUUAAUAAAUUUUAUGAAAAACUAGGAUUAGAUACCCUAUUAUUAAAAUUUAAAUUAAAAAUUCUAAAAUAGUAGAUAAAAUAAUUUAUUGAAACUUAAAUAAUUUGGCGGUAUUUUAGUUCAUUUAGAGGAAUCUGUUUAUUAAUUGAUAAUCCACGAAUAAAUUUACUUAAUUUUUAAUUUUAUAUAUCGUUGUUAAAAAAAUAUUUUUUUAUAAAAAUAAUAUUUAAAAUUUUUAAUUAAAAGUUAAAUCAGAUCAAGAUGUAGAUUAUAAUUAAGAAUAUAAUGGAUUACAAUAAAUUAAUUUAAAUGGAUAUUAAUUUGUAAUAUUUAAUUGAAGGUGGAUUUAAAUGUAAUUUUAUUUAAUUAAAUAAAAUGAUUUUUAAUUAAGAUAUGUACAUAUUGCCCGUCGCUUUCAUAUAUUUAAAAUUGGAAUAAGUCGUAACAAAGUAGAGGUACUGGAAAGUGUUUCUAGAAAGAU